rnacentral:rRNA from 1 species
CCUACGGGCGGCAGCAGUGAGGAAUAUUGGUCAAUGGACGCAAGUCUGAACCAGCCAAGCCGCGUGCAGGAUGACGGCUCUAUGAGUUGUAAACUGCUUUUGUACGAGGGUAAACCCCGAUACGUGUGUCGGGGUGAAAGUAUCGGACGAAUAAGGAUCGGCUAACUCCGUGCCAGCAGCCGCGGUAAUACGGGGGAUCCGAGCGUUAUCCGGAUUUAUUGGGGUUCAAGGGUGCGUAGGCGGUUUGGUAAGUUAGCGGUCAAAUGUCGGGGCUCACACCCGAAACUGCCUCUAAUACUGGUGGCCUGGAGAAUAGUUGAGGUAGGCGGAAUGUAUGGUGUAGCGGUGAAAUGCUUAGAGAUCAUACAGAACACCGAUUGCGCCGGCAGCUUACCAACCUAUAUCUGACGUUGGGGCACGAACGCGUGGGUAGCAAACAGGAUUAGAUACCCGAGUAGUC